GGAAAAGCUCAGCAGGUCUGGCAGCAUGUGUGGAAGCGUGCACCGCUGGCUGGGCCUGUCCCUCGUUGCCCUUGGGAAGCUGUGGGCUGCCUUUUUAAACAGGGAGGGAGUUCCUGGAUUCUGAUCCAGAACAUCCAAGAAAAUGGCAUUUUAUUCCCAAGUCAGGAUUGUGAGUGGCUUGGAGGGGGAUUAGCGGGUGCUGGUGUUCAUGCUGCCCUUGACCUUCUGAGAGGUGGAGGCUAUAGGUUUAGAUCUAACCAUUACCAGCAUUUCGAGAAGAAAUCAUUUAUAUACUUUUCACAACAUCAGGGCCACCUUUUCAGCCAUUGAAUUGCUUUUUGAACUGCAGCAACUGAUGGAGUGAUGGAGAGACGGUGAUAUUGUACCAUUGAACUAGUAAUUCAGACACUCAGGCUGAUCUUCUGAGGAUAUGGGUUCGAACCCCAAUGCAGCCAAUGUUGAAAUGUGAAUCCAAAAAUUUUCUGGACUUAAUAACUGACCACAUGAUGACUAUGUAACUACUGUUAAUUAAAACCCAUCUGGUUCACUGA